UACGAAGGGGGCUAGCGUUGCUCGGAAUCACUGGGCGUAAAGGGCGCGUAGGCGGCUGUUCAAGUCGGGGGUGAAAGCCUGUGGCUCAACCACAGAAUGGCCUUCGAUACUGGACGGCUCGAGACCGGAAGAGGUCAGUGGAACUGCGAGUGUAGAGGUGAAAUUCGUAGAUAUUCGCAAGAACACCAGUGGCGAAGGCGGCUCACUGGCUCGGUACUGACGCUGAGGUGCGAAAGCGUGGGGAGCAAACAGG
rnacentral:rRNA from 1 species